ensembl:snRNA U1 U1 spliceosomal RNA
AUACUUACAUGGCAGGGGGAAAUACCAUGAUCACAAAAGUUGUUUUCCCAGGAUAAGGCUUAUCCAUUGAACUCUGUGUGUGCCAACCCCUGCAAUUUCUCCAAAUGUGUGAAACUGUUCUGCAUAAUUUGUGGUAGUGGGGGACUGUGUUCAUGCUCUUCCCAA